rnacentral:rRNA from 1 species
GAUGAACGCUGGCGGCGUGCCUAAUACAUGCAAGUCGAGCGAACGGACGAGAAGCUUGCUUCUCUGAUGUUAGCGGCGGACGGGUGAGUAACACGUGGAUAACCUACCUAUAAGACUGGGAUAACUUCGGGAAACCGGAGCUAAUACCGGAUAAUAUAUUGAACCGCAUGGUUCAAAAGUAAAAGACGGUCUUGCUGUCACUUAUAGAUGGAUCCGCGCCGCAUUAGCUAGUUGGUAAGGUAACGGCUUACCAAGGCAACGAUGCAUAGCCGACCUGAGAGGGUGAUCGGCCACACUGGAACUGAGACACGGUCCAGACUCCUACGGGAGGCAGCAGUAGGGAAUCUUCCGCAAUGGGCGAAAGCCUGACGGAGCAACGCCGCGUGAGUGAUGAAGGUCUUCGGAUCGUAAAACUCUGUUAUUAGGGAAGAACAAAUGUGUAAGUAACUAUGCACAUCUUGACGGUACCUAAUCAGAAAGCCACGGCUAACUACGUG